AGCGAUUCACUUCUGUGAAGAGCGGCGGACGGGUGAGUAACGCGAUGGGUAACCUGCCUCAUACACUUUGAUAAGAUACCGAAAGGCAUGCUAAUACAGGAUAAUAUCAGAGAUUCGCAUGGAUUUCUUAUCAAAGCUUUGGCGGUAUGAGAUGGACCCGCGUCUGAUUACCUACCUGGUAGGGGAACGGCUUACCAAGGCGACGAUCAGUAGCCGACCUGAGAGGGUGAUCGGCCACAUUGGAACUGAGACACGGUCCAAACUCCUACGGGAGGCAGCAGUGGGGAAUAUUGCACGAUGGGCGAAAGCCUGAUGCACCAACGCCGCGUGAGCGAUGAACGCCUUCGGGUCGUAAAGCUCUGUCCUCCAGGAAGAUAAUGACGGUACUUGAGGAGGAAGCCCCGGCUAACUACGUGCCCGCAGCCGCGGUAAUACGAUAGGGGGCUAGCGUUAUCCGGAUUAACUGGGCGUAAAGGGUGCGUAGGUGGUUUCUUAAGUCAAGAAUGAAAGGCUACGGCUUAACCGUAGUAAGCUCUUGAAACUGGGGAAACUUGGGUGCAGGAGAGGAAAGUGGAAUUCCUAGUGUAGCGGUGAAAUGGGUAGAUAUUAGGAGGAACACCAGUAGCGAAGGCGGCUUUUUGGACUGUAACUGUCACUGAGGCAGGAAAGCGGGGGGAGCAAACAGGAUUAGAUACCCUGGUAGUCCACGCUGUAAACGAUGAGUACUAGGUGUCGGGGGUUACCCCCCUCGGUGCCGCAGCUAACGCAUUAAGUACUCCGGCUGGGGAGUACGCUCGCAAGAGUGAAACUCAAAGGAAUCGACGGGGACCCGCACAAGUAGCGUAGCAUGUGGUUUAAUUUGAAGCAACGCGAAGAACCUUACCAAAGCUUGACAUCCUUUUGACCGAUGCCUAAUCGCAUCUUUCCCUUCGGGGACAGAAGUGACAGGUGGUGCAUGGUUGUCGUCAGCUCGUGUCGUGAGAUGUUGGGUUAAGUCCCGCAACGAGCGCAACCCUUGCCUUUAGUUGCCAGCAUUAAGUUGGGCACUAUAGAGGGAGUGCCAGGGAUAACAUGGAGGAAGGUGGGGACGAUGUCAAAUCAUCACGCCCUUUACGCUUAGGGCUACACACGUGUUACAAUGGGUGGUACAGAGG
rnacentral:rRNA from 1 species